rnacentral:rRNA from 1 species
AACGAACGCUGGCGGCAUGCCUAACACAUGCAAGUCGAACGAGACCCCUGACUUCGGUUGGCGGGUCUAGUGGCGCACGGGUGCGUAACGCGUGGGAAUCUGCCCUUGGGUUCGGAAUAACUCAGAGAAAUUUGAGCUAAUACCGGAUGAUGACGAAAGUCCAAAGAUUUAUCGCCCAGGGAUGAGCCCGCGUAAGAUUAGCUUGUUGGUGGGGUAAUGGCCUACCAAGGCGACGAUCUUUAGCUGGUCUGAGAGGAUGAUCAGCCACACUGGGACUGAGACACGGCCCAGACUCCUACGGGAGGCAGCAGUGGGGAAUAUUGGACAAUGGGCGCAAGCCUGAUCCAGCAAUGCCGCGUGAGUGAUGAAGGCCUUAGGGUUGUAAAGCUCUUUUACCAGGGAUGAUAAUGACAGUACCUGGAGAAUAAGACUCCGGCUAACUCCGUGCCAGCAGCCGCGGUAAAAGUAGUGUGUA